rnacentral:lncRNA from 1 species
CCAACUUGGAUCUGACUUAACUCAGGUCUGAAUUUGUGGAAGAGGUUCCUCAGACCCCAGCUGAGGAGGUGCAGGGUGAUGAGGCAGCUGAUGCCGAAGUCCCAAGUGCUGAGGCAGAGAAAGCAACUACUAAUGCCCAAGUUACCGAAGCCCCAAGUGCUGAGGCGCUUCCGCUAUCUAGCCAGGCUUAGACUAGGUUUUCCUUUUCAGUACUUUGAAUGUAAUGGCCAGAGGCCCUCCUUUGUAAUCCCUUUUGAAUAUUAAUAUAAUGUUUUUCUUCAUUCAUUGUUGUUCUUUAUCCAAGUUUUUGUGCCUCGUUAAACAAACGAAUUGGAAGUUGAUAAGAGCACGAACUAAAUAACUUUAACUUGGUACCUUGACUUCAAUCAGUCAACUGUAUGAGCCUCGGACUGAAAUAAGCGAACAUAACUUAAGGAACUGU